UACCCCUGUACUUUUCUGUGGUGUGCUU
rnacentral:sRNA from 1 species